rnacentral:rRNA from 1 species
GAUGAACGCUGGCGGCGUGCCUAAUACAUGCAAGUCGAGCGAACAGACGAGGAGCUUGCUCCUCUGACGUUAGAGGCGGACGGGAGAGUAACACGUGGAUAACCUACCUAUAAGAUUGGGAUAACUUCGGGAAACCGGAGCUAAUAACGGAUAAUAUAUUCAACCGCAUGGUUCAAUAGCGAAAGACGGUUUUGCUGUCACUUAUAGAUGGAUCCGCGCCGCAUUAGCUAGUUGGUAAGGUAACGGCUUACCAAGGCAACGAUGCGUAGCCGACCUGAGAGGGUGAACGGCCACACUGGAAGUGAGACACGGUCCAGACUCCUACGGGAGGCAGCGGUAGGGAAUCUUCCGCAAUGGGCGAAAGCCUGCCGGAGCAACGCCGCGUGAGUGAUGAAGGUCUUCGGAUCGUAAAACUCUGUUAUUAUGGAAGAACAAAUGUGUAAGUAACUAUGCACGUCUUGACGGUACCUAAUCAGAAAGCCACGGCUAACUACGUG